AAAUAUAAUAUAAAAUCAAAUAUGAAAAUAUAAAUCAGGACAUUAUAUAGAAAUUGUAGAGUUGACUAAAUUCUCAGUCUGUCACCCUUCAUUUGAACUACUCUUUAACGCGACCCGACCUGGAUACAUGGCUGGAAUAUGGAUAGGUGGAUGGAUGAAUGCAGUGAUACCAUCUUGCUCUGCUAUGAGACACGCAUACAUACAGCGGGAGCAAGACUUGCUGUCAAGACAGUACUGCAGCCAUAUUUCUGGUGCCCGGUACAGUAAUUGGGGCCAACGGCCUUGUUGAAGGUCACAGCAGUGAUGAUUACCCUGCUGGCUCACACAGAUUGAGAUUUUCAAACCAGUCAAGCCAAUUGAAGAUGAUGUAAUAUAGAUUGCAAAUAUGGAAUAUAUAGAAUACCCAGAAGGAUAAGCGGUUUGGAAAAUGGAUGGAUGGAACGUUUGUAAUAAUUAUUUGAAAAAUUUGGGAGGUGAAUAUUAGUUUUAAAUUGGUACCAGAGAUUGCAUUUUAAAGUAGCUUCAAUGUGGUCAAGCUAAUUUUGAUAUGCAGCUUGUAGUGUAAUUUCUAAAAUUCUCCGAUGAGCUUUCAUUAGCUCAGCGAUAAAUUUGGUAGAAAAACUAGGAAACUUUAAAGCGAUUGCCCAACAUUAUAAGAGUUUUUUUAUUUUCAACAAAUGUAACAUUUAAGUUAAUGUUUGCCUCUGUAAUGUACUCUGCACUGCAG